ACAGAUGUCAAUUAUUAUUUGUAUCCUUCUGAGGGCUGUCCCUAAGAACACUAGUCAUGCAUGAGAACCCUGUUUUGGCAUAUGCAAUACAAACUCAGACACUGUUAUUUCAGAGUAAAAACAGGAUCCUUGCCUCAAAAACAGAAAAAGAUGGAGAGAACAAAUGAACCAGGAAAUAACACAAAAAUACUGAUUGGCAUAAUUAACAGUCUUUCUAUCAAAAUUAAUCUGAUAUCUCAUUUAAAUGUAUUUGUAAUCAAACAGUUCUAUCAGAUUCAGAAAUGAGAUUUCUUGAAUUUUGCCAAAAGCUUUUAAUUAUAUGUGCCCAGGCACAACAGCUCCAGACAAAACCUGUUUGGGGUGAUGGUUCCCUUUGUCCAGUAACUAAUAUGUCCCAGGUGCAGUUGUACAGAUACUUAGAUGCGCUGAUAACCCACUAAAGAGCUGUUCAUAGUGAUUGGAUUACUGCUUACCCUAUUACCACCAGUCCUAUGUACUUUAAAAAUUUAAUUGGAGUUUCACUGUAGUAAAUGUGAGGAAAAUAUCUUGGAGGAGUACGUGAGCAUACCAUUUUAAUGCUAAUGAUAUAAAUCAUGGGCAAUCAUGGACAAUAUUAGGAAAAAUCAAAGGAUCUGUGGACUCAGGCUACCAAAUACUUAAUUUAGCCCCCUGCAGAAGUAUUUAUUUUUCAGAUGAGCACAAAGCUGCUGUUUUCUUCUUGUACAACAACACCUACAGGUCUAAGCUGCUUUUUAAACUUUUGUUUCCAACCAAAAAUUGAUGUGAUUUUGUCAUCAUUGCUCAUCUCUUACAAAUGUCCUUAGAGAAAGUCCAGUCUAACUAGAGAGGAGAGCCUCUAGAGCCUCAUUAGACUUAUUCUCUCUUCUCAGCAGAGCUAUUACAAGCCUGCUUUUUGUCAGCACUUCUCUUAAGACUUGCAGCACAAUUUGUGCACCAACUCAUCUCUACAGUCAUCUUCUCAUAUGGGAAGAGCCAGAGGAUUUUCUUUUAUGUUGCUUCAUAUGCAGUCAUGUUACAGGUGAAUGGGAAAAAUGCAGGAGCAGAUGAAGCUGGUGGUAACUGGAACUUCACCCUGUUGCUGGAGCUGUUAUUAACUCGGCUAUCGUACACAGCUCACAUGGCAUGACUGAGAUUCUUUACACUGCUUCCCUCAAAUCCAGCAACUAUGCUGCGUGGGACCACCUCUGAGCAUGGAAAGGUGAGCUGCCAGUGAAUAUUAAAUCACAUUUUUCUGAUGGAACUGCAAAAAUACUGUAAAUUAGUGCCAGCUGUGGUCCUGUGGUGUACACACUGAGCUAUGAAUACCAAAGUACUGCUGGUAUUGGUAAUAGCUCAUAGCCCACAGUGAGCUAGAUUAAAGGUAAAAUGUUGUACCCUCCUUCCAGACUCUAAAAGAUUUUAGAUACCCUAAAAACAGAAGUAGUUUUAGGAAUGCACUGAGGAUCUGCUUCUACACUCUUCACACAUUAACUGCAGAAAUGACCGAUCUCAAAUAGAAAUGUGCACGUUUUAAGUUAGCCACCAGAUGGAGCUCAUACCUCCCACCGCACAAAUCCACGAACAUCUGCAAAGUUAAAACACUUCAUAGAUAUUACAAAGGAUGCUGUUUCUUCCACUUCAUAAAAGUCAGAGGAAGUCUGUGAUUAGCUCGAUGUUUACAAAUAAAGGGGAAUCUGGAGGCAGAUCAAAGGUAACUCUCCAGAUUUGGCAUGAUACCAAGUUCCUGUACUACUAGCAUCCGCAUGGGUUUGACUGUCAGAUUAAGUGGUUGAACUUAGCCCAUCUCAUCAUGAACUAGCAGUGCUUUUUUAAUGCUUAGCAUAUAUAUUAGAAAUCUGAAGAUUCAGCUAGCUAAGGACAUGGAAGAAAAAAAAAAUACGAAAAGAGAAGCAUUCAUGGUUUCUUCCUCACCCUACUUUCAGGAAUGCAAAGGGGAUCUGGAAGGGAACACAAGGCCUGUGGUAAAAUCCAAAGGAUACCGAACUUCACUAAACUUAAAUAGGAGCAGUAGCUCUCAAAGUCUGAUGGUCCAUUUGUACCAUAUUUGCUUUUCGCUGACUAGUCUGUAAUUCAUCCAGGAUCUCAGGGAUUUUGGCACAGCUCUAACAACUAGGGAGAAAAGCAGAUCUGAGAUAAAAGGUUGUGGUGUAUGAAAGACACUGAGUUAAUGUGUAUGUGUUUUAAGGGACAUCUUUGUUUUGACUCUGUGAAACAAACCAACAUAGUUUGUGAGGUCUAGAAGGCCACAGACUAUUUCUACUUUUAUAGUAGUGCUCUGUUUGAAAUUAGUAUUUUUAUUUGGGUCUAAGCCACACUGAACUCAAUCAAAUAAACAUUCUCCAAAGAAAACUUCCUUUGAACUAUUUAACUAUUCGUUUGCACAGCAAAAUAAAUCAGAAAGAACAGUAAUAUAUACUGAGAUAUUUAUUAUGUCUUAAUUGACAUAUUUUUCCAUUUUUAAGUUACAGUUCACGAGGAGCUCUGUCUUUGUGGCAGAAUUGACAAUGUUUGCAUAAACCAGUUGAAUUUAAGUGAAACACAACCCUGCCCAAAAGCAGACUAGGUGGGGCUUAUCCUCAUACUUCCAGGCACCCAGAUUGUGGCUGGUACUAUGAUUCACAACAGCAUAGGUAAAUGUACAAAAAUGAGGUUUAAUCUACCUGAUAGCAAUGCUGCUCAGAGAUCUGAGCUCUCUCCUGGGCUGUGGGAGGGUACUAAGACAACUUUUUCAUCUGUUCCCAGGGUUCCUAUCCUGUAUUCUCCCCUACAGUGCUACAGUAUCUUUCCUUCUCCCAAAUGAGGGAUAUUCUAGAUUUCAUCUCUAAAUGCUUCUACUUGGUAUAAACAGAAAAUCCAAACGGAUGACUUUUUAAAAUAGCAACCUUGUGACAGGGGA